AACGUAGGGGGCUAGCGUUGCCCGGAUUCACUGGGCGUAAAGCGGGUGUAGGCGGUUCUUUAAGUCGGAUGUGAAAUCCAGCGGCCCAACCGCUGAAUUGCAUCCGAUACUGGGGAACUUGAGGACGGUAGAGGUCGGUGGAGUAUCCGGUGUACCGGUGAAAUGGACAGAUAUCGGAUGGAACACCAGUGGCGAAGGCGGCCGACUGGGCCGAUCCUGACGCUGAGACCCGAAAGCUAGGGUAGCGAACCGG
rnacentral:rRNA from 1 species